GGCUGCUAUCACUGUUGCUAAACGUGUUGCUGAGGAAUGUGGCGUUCCAUUGGGUCAAAAGGUUGGAUAUGCUAUUAGAUUUGAAGAUGUAACUUCUGGCCAAACAAAGAUCAAAUAUAUGACAGAUGGUUUGCUUCUGAGGGAAGCAUUAUUGGAUCCAUACCUCUCCAAGUAUUCUGUUAUUAUUGUUGAUGAGGCGCACGAGCGGACUAUCCACACUGAUGUAUUGCUUGGACUGUUAAAGAAUGUACAGAAAGCAAGGUCAAAAUCUAUCAACGGAGUGGUAAAUACUGAUCAUAAUAAUUCUAAUAACGGGCAUGCCCUGGAGGAAAGGGUUGACAAUCAGAAUGACGGUAUUUUGAAGUCAUGUCAAGUGAAAAAGCACAAACCAUUGAAAUUGAUCAUCAUGUCCGCCAGUAUGGAUGCACGAGUUUUCUCAGAGUACUUUGG
rnacentral:misc_RNA from 1 species